UACGGAGGGGGCGAGCGUUGUCCGGAAUGACUGGGCGUAAAGGGUGUGUAGGCGGUUUAUUAAGUUAGAAGUGAAAUACCUAGGGCUUAACCCAGGUGCUGCUUCUAAAACUGAUAGACUUGAGUGCAGUAGAGGAAAGUGGAAUUCCUAGUGUAGCGGUGGAAUGCGUAGAUAUUGGGAAGAACACCAGCGGCGAAGGCGAUUCACUGGACUGUAACUGACACUGAGGCACGAAAGCGUGGGGAGCAAACAGG
rnacentral:rRNA from 1 species